rnacentral:tRNA from 3 species
GGCAGGGUAGCUUAGUUGGUUAAAGCGUGGCAUUCAUAACGCCAAGAUCGAGGGUCCGAUUCCCUCCCCUGCUA